AGAAACAACCACCAAGGCCGGUGCAGAGUGUCACUACCUAUUCCAUGUCGCACUAACUUGGCCUUCCUGCCAAGCUCCACUGGGCAGAUUCUUUUCUGAUCCUGGAACUCAGACACGUAUUGGUAUCAAAGCAGAAAAAUAACGCACACCAUAUUGUAUGCUACGAACUCAGAAUUGUUUACCAAUGAAGGCUGAACUCAAAGCUUAAUACGAUGCUUCCUUGAGUGAGCCACGGCCACGUAUGAACGGCAUUCCUGAGUUCAUGCCUCCGAGUCAGGAGGUAAUUUUAAAAAUCAAGUCUACAUCUUUUCUAUGAGCAGUCGAAAAGCACAGAAUACAUGCAAUGAAAACCCCAAGGACUCAAAAAUCAUCAUUCGGUCUCAGUAAGGAAUAGCAUGCAAAUUACUUACAAAGAUGUGAGCCUCCACUGCUCGGUUUCCUAGAAAAGACAAGUACUCAGGAACAACUACAGCCAAACUUUCUACCAGUUCUGUAGUUCGCUCUUAAUCUUCCUGCUGCUCACAAGUGCUCCCCUGAGGCCUGUAAACCCAGCACAUAAUUGGUGGUCUAUAUUUAGUGUAAAUGUAGCCAAGCGAUAACAAGAUUCCCUGCAGUGGCUUCUGAUCUCAUGUCCGAGUUUAAGAUACACAUUGGUGAAACUUUGCUUUAAAACAACAAACCGGCAAGCCUGGAUUCAGUUGGUAACUGAUGUGGUUCAUAUGAAGUUCAAGUUGAAAGUCUUUACUCGGUGGAAGUGGCUGUAUCAUCUGACAGUACAUUUCCUAGCUAGCACUUCUGCUGUGCUGUGCUCCUGUGUAUAAAUACCCUGCAGCAGGCAGGAGCUGCCACUGGGACAUCUGGUGUGCAGAGACCUCAGUAAACAGGGAGGAUAGCUGUGAUAACACAACUAGCGGAGUGGCUGAUGUGUUAGAUUUCCAUCCCUGUAUCCAAAAUAAGUAAGCUUUAUACUAGCCCCCCGCUUCAGACCUCUGAUCUAGGCUUGCAGAAAUAGAAAACAUGGUAACAGGUACAGCUGAAAGAAGAGGCUUAGUCUCAUGAGGCCAAGAAGCAAAGGAGAGGAAAGGGCCAAUGACUUGUCUUCAACCAAGCCUCACACCUAAAGAUCCACCAUUCUCCAGCCGUUCCAGGCUGGUGACCAUGCAAGCCUUCUACACUUUUCUUUAAGGAGAUUUCAGAGAUCUAAACUAUAGCAGCAGGUCCGGGGACUCCUGGGCUUUCAAUUAGCUUUACAAAAAGUGUCUGUGGGUGCAAAGAUUGCACACUUCAGCAUUCCAUCCAAAAUGGGCUUCAGAAGCGCACCUGCCUUUUGGAAAUAGCAGCCUUGUUUCCUUUCCACAAGUGGCAGGCAGUUUCUGCCCUCUGGUGUACACAAUAGGUACUACAGUGAGAGCUGGGGCCUGCAAGCUCCGGGUGCCAGAUCAGAGUUUGGAUGAAAACAGACUUGCAGUUGUUUAAGAUCUGCCUUCGCUCACCACAAGUGCCUGCCCAUUCUAUAGCUCUGUGUGUUCCAGUUUCUCUUACACGGCUCUUUAGGGACAUUAUUAUACUGUCAGAGAACAGGGAUCUCACAUUUUUUGGUCUUCCCAUAGCUUGAGAACCAAGAAGACCAUGCACUUGAUACCUUUAUCAUUAAGUGCUGUCACCUGUAUUAAAACUAAGCUCAGAAAAAAUGAAGACGUUCCCAUCAUCUAGUCAUGCAGGUCAAAAACCAAAACUUUUCUAACUACCCAAUCUGUCCCAAAUCCCCUAUCAUCUCAGAAGUACUUGCUUCAGUUUUGAUGGCUGUUUUCCCCUUCUUUUAACAUUAUAACCUCAAGUACUAGUCCUCCAGAGAUGGGAAACAGCCUCCACUGCCAGGGAGGGUAAAGUGGCAGAGAUGAGACAACCCCAUGCAUGUGUCCAUCCAUCACACCUGUCUGAAAGCACCUGGCUUUAGUUAAACUCGUAGACAACGACUUGACCAGAAUAUGACAGCUCUCUUAAUAUUGAAAUGCUGCUUUUUGAAUCAGUAGAAAACAUGUCUAGGGCCUUACAUUUUCUUUCAAAUGCCCCUCAUGGUAUCCAGUCAAUUCCCAGCCAUCAUAGAGUUGAGUCUAUUGUUGUUUUGAAAUUAAUUCUUGUGCUACAGUAAUUUGGCUGAGAAUCAGUGGUUGGCUGGCUGGCACUACUUUCAACUCAAUUCUUAAACAUCAGGUUCUUAGCAAUCGUUGCCAGCAGAAGUUACUCAAUGAAUUCUUAAGAUUUCCAUCUUUGUAAUCUCAAGCAUGGGUUAAGUGCUUAUUUCUCAUUCCUCAAACCCUAGCU
ensembl:antisense predicted gene 17056